CAGAAAGAUCACCUUCGCCGCCGGCAUUAGCACCCGGCGCCGUCAUUCUGUCACCACCGCAAAUCAUAUUACCGGAAUCUUCAGGGGUCAGCCCACGCGGCGAAUAUGCGCUGACCGGAACGUCGACGCCGCAAAACAAUGCUGCGGUUGCGCGAAACAAGAACGAGGGAACCGCCGGCGACAUUUCCGGUGAAGGCUGGUACGA